rnacentral:rRNA from 1 species
CCUACGGGGUGCAGCAGUGAGGAAUAUUGGUCAAUGGACGAGAGUCUGAACCAGCCAAGUAGCGUGAAGGAUGACUGCCCUAUGGGUUGUAAACUUCUUUUAUAUGGGAAUAAAAUGUUCCACGUGUGGGAUUUUGUAUGUACCAUAUGAAUAAGGAUCGGCUAACUCCGUGCCAGCAGCCGCGGUAAUACGGAGGAUCCGAGCGUUAUCCGGAUUUAUUGGGUUUAAAGGGAGCGUAGGUGGAUUGUUAAGUCAGUUGUGAAAGUUUGCGGCUCAACCGUAAAAUUGCAGUUGAAACUGGCAGUCUUGAGUACAGUAGAGGUAGGUGGAAUUCGUGGUGUAGCGGUGAAAUGCGUAGAUAUCACGAAGAACUCCGAUUGCGAAGGCAGUUCACUGGACUGCAACUGACACUGAGGCUCGAAAGUGUGGGUAUCAAACAGGAUUAGAUACCCUGGUAGUC